rnacentral:rRNA from 1 species
GACGAACGCUGGCGGCGUGCUUAACACAUGCAAGUCGAACGGAAAGGCCCUGCUUUUGUGGGGUGCUCGAGUGGCGAACGGGUGAGUAACACGUGAGUAACCUGCCCUUGACUUUGGGAUAACUUCAGGAAACUGGGGCUAAUACCGGAUAGGAGCUCCUGCUGCAUGGUGGGGGUUGGAAAGUUUCGGCGGUUGGGGAUGGACUCGCGGCUUAUCAGCUUGUUGGUGGGGUAGUGGCUUACCAAGGCUUUGACGGGUAGCCGGCCUGAGAGGGUGACCGGCCACAUUGGUACUGAGAUACGGCCCAGACUCCUACGGGAGGCAGCAGUGCGAAGUAUUGCACAAUGGACGGAAGCCUGAUGCAGCAACGCCGCGUGCGGGAUGACGGCCUACGGGUUGUAAACCGCUUUCGCCUGUGACGAAGCGUGAGUGACGGUAAUGGGUAAAGAAGCACCGGCUAACUACGUG